rnacentral:lncRNA from 1 species
GCAAUCGCUAAAGUCCACAUCACCUCAACGUGAACUCAAACCUGAUAUGUUUUAGUGUUAGGGAAUGAAUCUCAUUUCAGCUGAGAUAGUUCUAGAUCACAUUUUAUUUUCAAUUUUCUUCAUUCAGAAGCUGAAUUUCAUUAUCAGCAUCAUGCCUUUUAGAUUAUAGUAACGAUAUUGGAUGUAUGUUUGUAUAGGUAGAAGAGUUUGGAAACUGGAGUCAUUCAUCGUUGGAGACACUGUGUGAUGUUGUGAAGCCAGUCGUCUUCACAGAGCGCUCUUACGUUCUCCGGGAGGGAAACCCAAUUGAUCAAAUGCUCUUCGUGCUGCAAGGCAAGUUAUGGACCUACACUUCCAGGAGCAUAACUGGAUUCUCAAGCAAUUCUGGUAACCUGAACAACCAUCUGGAAGAUGGUGACUUUUCUGGAGAAGAACUCAUUGCUUGGGCAAAGGCUGACCGCGACUCAUCCAACCUCCCUAUAUCAACUAAAACAAUUCAAGCUCUUACAAAUGUUGAAGCAUUUGUUCUUAUGGCAGAUGAUUUAAAGCAGGUACUAUUGAAUAUUGAUCAUUAAGCAAAACAUUGCACUGGAUGUAUACAUGUAUUCUGACAAACUAGAUGGAGUGCACAAGCGUCCGCACAAGGAACGCCACCAUCCAACCUCCCUAUAUCAACUAAAACAAUUCAAGCUCUUACAAAUGUUGAAGCAUUUGUUCUUAUGGCAGAUGAUUUAAAGCAGGUACUAUUGAAUAUUGAUCAUUAAGCAAAACAUUGCACUGGAUGUAUACAUGUAUUCUGACAAACUAGAUGGAGUGCACAAGCGUCCGCACAAGGAACGCCACCAUCGCCAUCUACAAUAAUAUUUGGGCGUUCAGAUCUGGUACAGCAACGUUAGUAUUUUAGGCCUUGUUCAUGAUCUUAAUUAAGGACCUAUCUCAAUAAUAAAUUUGGACGAAAGUAUUUGAGUUUGAGAUAUUAGAAACCGAAGCCUGAUACAGUUGAUGUGUAUAUAUAUGAAGUUAGCAAAACUCCUUUAUAGUGUUUGAUUAUAUAUAGUGUUUGAAAUUAAAUUUAAGGAUUAGUCUUUAACAAAUGAGAUUUCUUAUCUCCAUUUAAGGAUUAGUCUUUAACAAAUGAGAUUUCUUAUCUCCAUUUAAAACCUUUAUUAGUAUAAUACAAUUUCAAAAAAAAUUUAAAUAACAAUAUAUGACCCUUGAUUUAUUUUUUACACAAAAUUUCAGUGUUUGAACUAGCAGAAAGUAAGUUCAAUUUGUGAACUAGAGAUGAGCACUGAACUUUUCAUAAUUUUAACACUCAAAUGGGAUAUUUUUAUAAAUUCUAAGGAAGAAAGGUCAGUGGUCAUCAAAAAGUUUCUAAAACCACCUGGGACACAGGCCCCAACUGUUCCUACCAUUGCUCAAAUUUGUAAUAGGCAUCGUGACAUUGUUCACAAGUUUGGAUUUGGAUCCUUAACAAGUUCAUAUUUCUAAGGCUUAUAUUUAUCUUGAGCAAAAAGCACAAAGAUCCAAUUCUACUAGUGAGCAAAAAGCACAAAGGGACGUGAUAGAGUUGCAGCCUCUUGGGGCCAAAAUUUUGGUUAAUGAACCGUAGAUUGAGAUUAUGCAUAUGGAUAAGUUCUAACCUCAAGUCGUAGCUAUUAGUUGCCUCCGGCCCCAGCUCAAUCAACAGGUGCUACAGAAAUUACAUAAUUAUUGAAUUUUUUUUUUUUUUGGUUGUUUGAUUGAUUGUGUAAGAAGUCAAUGUCUUGAGGAACCACAGUGCGUAGAUAUUUAUUAGCGCAUAGGAUAAGCAUGCUCUGAACUCCGAAGACUCAGCCACUGAAGUGAUGAUUUGUGAAGGAUCCACCUGUAUUUAAUUGAAGGAAACUGAAAUUAAGCUUCGCUUCAUUUACUUAAAUUUUCCUUCCCCUUGGUUGAUUAUGUAAGCCUUAAGCGAGUUGUUUAUUAAUUUGACGAUAUACGUAUAGAGCCUUACUGAGCUGAGGUACAGGCCAUAUGUUAUUACAAUUAUUGUAUAUGGUGAUGACGAUGAAGUUGAUUUUAUUUUUUCAGGUCUCAGCACUCGAAUUUAGAGGAAGGAACGCCGAGACUGGUUGCUGGUGUUGAAAUGGACAGCAUCAGUAGGAGCGAGAGAGAAGCAACAGUAUCUGCUUUUCGAACUGUGAUCGAAAGCUUGGGUAAUGGAGAAAAAACAUCUCUUCGGCAGAUUCGUAAUCUGCCGAGACGUUUCCUGGAUGCUACGAGACGUUACCCGGAUGCUAAUUUUUGGCUGAUUUAUGUGUAUUCCAUAAUAUUUGAUCCUGUUUUCUUGUACCUUCCCGUGAUCAACGAUGGCAAAAAGUGCUUCCAAUUUGACAUAGCCCUUAUGAUUUUGGUUAUUGUUGAACGUACAGCAUAUGAUAUAUUGUUUUUGAUGAAAAAAGCUUUACGAAUAGGGGAGAAUGUACAUCGAAAUUUUAGCAAAUCUCGGUUGGCCGUCUUCCUAUUUGAUCUCGCCUUCAUUUUUCCACUCCCACAGGUAAAUGUUUGUUCUGUCGUACUUUUUACUUAUUUGUUCCAACUAGCCAAGCAAGGGCACACGCGCAUACCUAUGGGCGCCCAAAAGUAAUUUAUGUUGGAUUCCUAGCAAGCACGCAUAGGUUGUAAUUUGUACGAUUAAUUUCCAUUUUUUUUUUUCCUUUUCAUAUGGAAUCAUAUUUCAUAAUUGAUAAUUCUAUCUUUAUGGUGUACAAACUGUUCAGGUGUUGGUGCUUCUAGUUUAUAAUCGACUAAUGAAUGUCCAGCAAUUUUUCCAUGUGAUGAACCUGUUUAUCGUCCAACAUUUGCUAAAGGUUAAGCGAUUGUAUGCAUUGAUUAAAAAAAGGAAGAAUUCAUAUAAGCAUACUAAAUGGGCCAGACUUACGUUCAAUCUCUUUUACCUACAUGCUGCUAAUGUAAGUUUACUUGCCUCCCAAGUCUCCAAUAUAUUCUAUUUCUCUUUACUCUUUUUUGGGUAAUUUAUAAUUCCUGAUGAUCUACUUGAUGGUUGUUUAGGGGUUUGGAGCAUUAUGGUACUUUUUUGCUCUACAAAGAAAGACCGAAUGUUGGAGGAAAGCCUGCACAGGUUCUACCAAAUGCCGUCUCCUUCCUUUGCACUGUGACAACAGUUUAACAAACUACACAUUUUCUAAUGAUUUUUGCUCUACAAAGACUCAAAAUGCAACUAUCUAUGAUUUUGGGAUAUACGUUGAUGCUAUUAAUUCUGGUGUUAUGGAGCAAAACAGUUUAUCUCUGAGGUUCUUGCUUUGUAUUCGAUGGAGCCUGCAAAAUCUCAGGUUAAGUUGUGGAUAUACAUCAUUCUCCUUGUAACAAUCUUUGUGCAUAUGCCUUUCUAUGUUUUUUGGGCAUAAAAUUACGCAUACGUAUUUUUAUGUUUUUUUAGCAAUUAAACUCAAAAACAUUGGUUCUAAAUUUCUAAUAAAUUUGUGGGUUUGACUUUUGCAGUUCUUUUGGUCAAGGUCUCCCAUUCAGUACUAAUGUCUUGGAAAACUUCUUUGUGAUUUCAAUUACCAUCACUGGAGUAGUGCUGUUUUUCUUCUUGAUUGGAAAGGUCCAGGUUGGUGUAUCUUUAUUUUAUGUUAUUUUAUUUUUUUCUCGUCUGAUUCUUGUCUCUUAAAAUUGGUUCUUUAUGCUUGAUUGAGAUGAAGCGCAAUAAAUUUUAAUUUUCCAUAAACCAUUAUUCUCGCGCAAUGUGCAGUAUGAAAUGUCAAAAGCAGAGGAGAUAAGACAGAAGGUACAAGAAAUACACCAGUGGCCGCCCUUUGGAAAGCUCCCUAAGGAACUCCAAAAGAAGGUCAGGAGACAUGCGGCAUCCAAAUUGCGAGGAACCACAGGGGUUGAUGUAGAAAUGGUGAAUAAUCUUCCAGAGGACCUCAGAAAGAGCAUAAAACAAAACCUCUGCUUAGACCUGCUAAAAAAUGUGAGUAAGAAAUCUUUACAACUAUAUUUGUCCCUCCUACUUCUGAAUUUGUGGAACUGACAAAGAAGAGGCUGGCAACAUAUAAACAGCAAUCCGAAAAACUAAUGAAAAUAUUUUCCUCUUCUUUAACUCAAUCGAAUAAACUCAAGGGUAAAUGUUUGUAACUAUUUGAACUUCUGCAUGGUUUUGAAAGCGCAAUAGCUAAGGUUCACAUCACCUCAAUGGAAACUCAAGCCUGACAUGUGUUUAGUGAUGGGGAAUGAAUCUCAUUUUAGCUGAGAUAGUUCUAGAUCAAUUUUUAUUCUCUUCAUUCAGAAGCUGAAUUUCAUUAUCAGCAUCGAGCCUUCUAGAUUAUAGUAAUGAUAUUGGAUGUAUGUUUGUUUAGGCAGAAGAGUUUGGAAAGCAGGAUGUUUCAUCGUUGAAGAAACUGUGUGAUGUUGUGAAGCCAGUUGUCUUCACAGCGCGCUCUUACAUUCUCCAGGAGGGAAACCCAAUUGAUCAAAUGCUCUUCGUGCUGCAAGGCAAGUUAUGGACCUACACUUCCAGGAGCAUAGCUGGAUCCUCAAGCAAUUCUGGUAACCUGAACAACCAUCUGGAAGAUGGUGACUCUGCUGGAGAAGAACUCAUUGCUUGGGCGAAGGCUGACCGCGACUCAUCCAACCUCCCUCUAUCAACUAAAACAAUUCAAGCUCUUACAAAUGUUGAAGCAUUUGUUCUAAUGGCAGAUGAUUUGAAGCAGUUGCUUUUGAAUAUUGAUCAUUAAGCAAAACAAUGCAGCUCGCUGCAUACAAGUAUUCCGACAAACUAGAAAGAAUGCACAAGCGUCCGCACAAUGAACGCCACCAUCGCCAUCUACAAUAAUAUUUUGGGCAUUCAGAUCUGGUGCAGCAACGUUAGUAUUUUAGGCCUUGUUCAUGAUCUUAAUUAAGGACCUAUCUCAAGAAUAAAUUUGGACGAGAGUAUUUUGAGUUUGAGAUAUUAGAAACCGAUGCCUGAUACGGUUGAUGUGUAUAUAUAAAGCUAUCAAAACUCCUCUACAGUGUUGAUUAUAUAUAUAUAUAUUUAUGCUAAUUUCAAGUUCGGAUUGCAGUAUGGAGCAAAGUUUUCAUGUUUCAACCGACGAUUCAUUUUGUUCCAUUUUAAAAUCACACUAAUUUGCAUAUAAUGCGUCCCUGAUUUUAAUAUUUAUUCCAUAUUAUAAUGGUUUUUGAGGAUGAGAGAGUCCGUGCCCUCGUUGAAAAUUUCAUUAAUCGACCCAUUGCUGAGAUGGCCAUUGGCAAAACUACUGUAAUAAAAGAAAAUCUAACUUCACCCAUAAUCAUAUGACUUUCAUCUAGUUUAAAAGUAAGCUAUUAAAAUAAGUGGUCAUCUGUUAUAUACAAAGUGCUUUACCCGUGUAAACUCCUUGUAUGAGCAUAUUGAACUUAUAACUUCUGAGAUUAGUGCCCGACAGAUACCUUCGAAUUCAAUUUUUUUGCAGUUCUUUUGGUCAAGGUCUCCAAACAAGUGCCAAUCCAUGGGAAAACAUCUUUGCAGUUUGCAUUAGUGUAUCUAGCAUGUGGCUACUUGUUAUUUUUGUUGGACAAAUCCUGGUUCAUCAUUUUUUUUUUUUUAUCUCCAAGAUAGUUUUAUCUGCUGCUUAAGAUGAAGCGCAGUGACUUUUAAUUUCUAUGGACUCUAGUCUUUUUGAAACAGACUUAUUCACAGUCAGUCUGAACUUGUAAGACCAGUGGGGAUGACACAGAAGGGGACAGAGUUAGGGCAGUGGCUGCCCUAUAGAAAGCUUUCUCUAAAACUUCAACAGCCGAUUCAGUACCUGCUAUACCAAUUGCAAGAAACCAUUGGUUUUGAUAUAGAAAGUUUGAUCAAUCGUCUUCCAAAGGACCUUGGAAGGGAGAUAAAAUAUGAACUCUGCUUAGAACUCCUCAAGAAAGUGGGUUUUAAUUUUAUUAUUGCUGUUAUUAUCCAAUAGAACUGCUCUGCUUUGUACAUCAUUGUGAGUUCUAUUCAAUACCACAUUAUAAUUGCUUGAGAUGGUACGUCUGUAUUCUCAUUGUUGUUCUUGUAUGUAAUCAAGAUGGGAAAAUUUGGAAAGUGGAAGAGAGCAUUGCUGGAGGAUCUGUGUGAUUUUGUUCAGCCAGUUACCUACAUGGGGCACGCUUACAUUGUCCAUGAAGGAGACCCAAUUGAUAAGGCACUUUUGGUGGUGCAAGGUAAGCUACGGAUCUACAACUCCGGAAAUGUAACAAAAGCCUCCCCAGGCACUAAUAAUUAUCUUAAAGAUGGCGACAUUUGUGGAGAAGAACUUGUCGCUUGGGUUCAGGAUGCUUGCACUACAAUUGACCAUUUUUCAUCUGACCUCCCUACCUCAACAGGAACCAUUCAAGCACUUACAAAAGUUGAAGCCUUUGUUCUCACAGCCGAUGAUUUAUUACUCUUUGAGCAGAAACGAGUAGCUCCAUUCAUUAAAGCAGCUCGAUUUUUAAAAUUAUUCCAGGACAUUGUAAAAAGAAUUUUCUCAUUUUCUGGUAGCCAUGGACAGAUCGAUACUCAGGUGUAAGGGCAAACCAACAAUGCUUCAGCCUGCCAUCUCAACCAGAGCUAUUCAAGCAUAAAGUUGAAGCCUUUUGUCUAUGGCUGAUGACUUGAAAAAUGUGUCACUCAUUAAGCCUAGUCGGGCAGCUCUAUUCAUCCAAGCAACUUGAUUCAUAAAAUUGCUCAUGGGCGCUGUGAAAGGAACUUAAUUUCUCUCAUUCUACAAGGAAUGCAGAAACGUCUAGACAGAGCGCCCCACAAUUACGUGUGCAUUUGAGGCAGCUGCGCUGCAAUAUCCUCCUAGAAUAUAGGCAGCUGCUCCCUGUUAAGGAAGCAGAGUAGUCAGUGGAGCAGAGGAUUGCAACACCUGCAGCUUGCUGUUACAGGUUGAUGACAUGGCUUGCCAGCUGGAGCCUGGUGGUUAUAUAGUCUCUUGCACACGUGAAGAUUAGUAGGUUUGUUAUAGUAUUUCUUGUGCUUGUAAUUCAGUUUUAAUUAGUUAUAACCAGCUGAUUAGCACUUGCAAUUAGUUGAGAAUUAGUUCUAAUUACUACUGAUGUAUAUAAACAGAAGUAUGUACAGAUUCAGUCAAUUAAUGACUUGAGAUAAUAAAAACGAAGAAAGAGUUUUAGAAUUCUCUUAUUUUCCCUUAAGUUUUUUCUGUUUCCAAACAUCAUUGAAUUCUUACUUGGUAUCAGAGCCAGCCAAUAAUGGCGUCUGUUAAUCUUGCUUCUUCUUCCUCAAUUUAAACUCUUAAUCAUGCUACAAAUUCAACAACUGUUUCCUUUACCUUUAACACACCAGUCAAGCUUGAUCAGUCCAAUUAUCUCAUAUGGCGAUCUCAAGUCCUAGCCUCAAUUCGUGGAAACAGGCUCGAAAAGUUUAUUGAUAAUGCAGUCACUCCACCUCCAUCUCAUAUAGCUCAGAGAGUUGAUGAUAAACUCAGAUCUGUAAAGAAUCCAGAAUUCACAACAUGGAGAUCUCAAGAUCAAGUGAUGCUUGGAUGGCUGCUCUCUUCAAUGAGUGAAGGAAUCAUUAGUCUAGUGUUCAACCUGGAAACAUCACUUGAAGUGUGGAAAACUAUUAAGGUACAAUUUGGCUCGCAGUCUAAAUCCAGACUUUUACAUCUAAGAUACAUGAUGAAUUCAACAAGGAAAGAUAUGAUGAAUUCAACAAAAAAAGAUGAUAUGAAAAUCACAGACUAUUUUAUUAAGAUGAAAAACAUAGCUGAUAAUAUGGCUGCAGCAGGAAGUGCUUUAAGUAGUGAUAAUCUGAUUUUACAUGUAUUAUCUAGCCUAGGACCAGAUUAUAAUUCAGUAGCUACUUACAUUACUGGUCAAGUAGGAGUUGGUAAAAUGAAUGUAAAUGAAGCCUAUGCUAUGUUGUUAACUCAAGAGGCUAGGAUUGAACAACAAUCACAAAUGCUUGCUGGUGUGGAUAUGAAAAACAAUUUUUGAGGCAAAUUAUGCUCAAAAUAGAGGAGUUAAGAAGGGAAACAUAUCAGGUGGAAGAGGUUUUGGUGGUUAUGGCUAUAACUCUGGGUUUGGAAAUGGUGGUUAUUACAAAGGAAACUUUGGCACUGAAUCUACUAGUGGUGGUACUGGUUUUAAUAGUCAGUUCAAAGGUUAUCAAUCUGGUAAUCAAAUAGGAGGAGGAGGAGGAAACUAGAACAAUAACACUGGAGUUAACAAUUUUAACAAUGGGAAACCACCUAUGAACUCUAAACCUCAGUGGAAUACUUCAAAACCUACCUGCUAAAUCUGCCUCAAGCCUGGACAUACUGCAAACAUUUGUUGGAAGCUGGAAGAAUUCAUUGCUUUAGGCUCUUACAGAUCACCUCCAAAUAGAGGACCAAAGGCUGCCUAUUUAGCCAACAUGGAUGCUCCAGCUGAUACUAAUUAGUAUCUUGACAGUGGUGCUACACACCACCUCACUAAUGAUAUGAGCAAUAUGAAUAUGGCUGAACCUUUUACAGGUACUUCUAAACUUGUCAUUGGUAAUGGUGUUGGUUUAUUCAUAACACAUACAGGUUCUGCUGUUUUGAGAAUGAAAAGCUCUAUAAAUCAUGUUGAUCUUAAGCUAAACAAUAUUCUUCUUGUGCCUAAAAUAACCAAAAACCUGAUAUGUAUAUCAAAACUAACCAGAGAUAAUGAUGUUGUGGUAGAAUUUACUAAUGAUUUCUGUUUUGUUAAGGACAAGGUGAGGAAUUUGAUCAUGCUGCAGGGCAAAGCUGAAAAAGGAUUGUACAGAUUGCUAUUUGUCUCCUCAAAUAAAACCUCUCCUUAUCUGUCAAACCAAGGUCUUUUUGCUCAUGUUCAGUCAGAUGUCUCAACUCAACCUAUUUCCAUGUUUUCUGUUGUUGAUUCUAAAUGUCAAAAUAAAAUUGCUUCUCAGUUACAAACUGAAGCACAAUGUAGUCAAAACUCAGAUUGUAUGUUGAGUACUAUGGUUUUACACCAAAGAUUAGGUCAUCCCAAUGCUAGAGUGUUGAAUCAUGUUAUCAAUUCUUGUCCAUCUUUUAAAACCAUCGAUGGUAAUAAAGGUUUUGAUUCUUGUGAUGCUUGUAAGUUGGGAAAAAUGCACAAACUUCAUUUUCCAGUAACUGAAACCAAAACAAAAAAUGCACUUGAAAUCUUACAUACAGAUCUAUGGGGGCCUGCUCUUACACUUUCUAUACAAGGAUAUAAAUAUUAUAUCAGCUUUGUAGAUGAUUACACAAGAUUCACCUGGAUCUUUCCUUUAAAAACCAAAGUUGAAGCAUUUCCAGUGUUCAAAGUUUUCAAAGCUCAAGUAGAGAAACAAUUAGAUAAACCUAUCAAGUGUCUUCAAUCUGAUUGGGGUGGUGAGUAUAGAUCACUUGUUCAUUUUCUUUAAACAGAGGGGAUUCAGUUUAGACACUCCUAUCCAUAUACUCACAAUCAAAAUGGACUUGUGGAAAGAAAACAUAGACACAUCACUGAGUUGGGUUUAACCUUGCUUGCACAAGCCAAGUUACCUAUAAAAUUUUGGUGGGAUUCUUUUCAUACAGCUACCCACAUUAUAAACAAACUUCCAACUCCUGUUCUUUCCUUGAAAACCCCUUAUGAAUAUCUAUUCCAUCAAAAACCAGACUAUCCAUUUCUCAAAACUUUUGGUUGUGCUUGUUUUCCUUUCUUAAGAGAUUGCAAUCAUCACAAGUUUCACUUCCAUACUUCUAAAUGUGUUUUCUUAGGAUACAGCCCUUUACACAAAGGCUACAAGUGUCUUCAUCCAUCAGGAAGAAUUUACAUAGCUAGUCAUGUUUUUUUUUAUGAAACUUCCUUUCCAUAUUCUACUGAUUCUACCUUCUUACAGUCUAUGCCAUCUAAAUCUUCUGACUUCCUUUAUAAUUCCUUACAAGUAUAUCACAUCUCAGUUCCUAAUAGCAAUCAGAAUCCUUUAGCAGCUGCUCCUGCAGAUACAGAUUCUCAUGCCUCCAGUUCUACUCACAACAUCAUCUCUCUUCCUAUUCCUACAUCACAAGUAAUUUCCACCUCACUGAUUUCACCAAAUAAUACUAUAUCUUCACCCAUUGUCCACACAACAUCACCAGCUGCUACCAUAAACAUUAUACCAAACACUACAACUUCACCUGCAAUACUACAAAAUUCACCUUCCAGAUCACUUCCCUCAGCUACAACCAUAAACACUCAUUCUAUGAUUACUAGAGCUAAAGCUGGCAUAUUCAAACCAAAGGCCUUCUUGACAGAUCAUAACAGCCUAGAACCUUCCAAUGCUGGAGAAGUCUUAUCUGAUACUAAGUGGAAGGCAGCAAUGCAAGAUGAAUAUAAUGCUCUCAUUAGAAACAAAACCUGGAGCUUAGUACCAAUGAAUCCCGAAUACAAGUUAGUAGGCUGCAAGUGGGUUUUUAGAACUAAAUACAAUACUGAUGGUUCAGUCUCUAAGUACAAAGCUCGCUUAGUUGCAAAAGGGUUUCACCAAACUGCUGGGAUAGAUUACUCAGAAACUUUUAGUCCUGUAGUGAAAUCUUCUACUGUCAGGGUUAUUCUUAGCUUGGCAGUCAUGCAAGGCUAGAAUGUUAGACAAAUUGAUGCCAAUAACGCAUUUCUUAAUGGGGAUCUCAUUGAGGAUGUGUACAUGCAACAGCCAGAGGGUUUUGUUUCAGAGGGAGGAUACAUCUGUAAACUAAACAAAGCUCUUUAUGACUUAAAACAAGCUCCAAGAGCCUGGUAUGAUAAGUUUAAGGGAUGUCUUACAAGUUGGAAAUUCACUAAUUCUAAGGCUGAUACUUCUCUGUUUAUUAGGCAUGAUGUCAAAGGCAUAAUUCUUGUCUUAAUAUAUGUGGAUGACAUUCUGAUCACUGGACCAGAUUCAGACUUGCUGGAAUCUUUUAUUGCUAAGCUCAGCAAAGUUUUUGCAUUAAAAGACUUGGGUCUAGUAACAUAUUUCCUUGGUGUAGAAGUCAGCUAUACAGAUCAUGGAAUGCACUUCCCUCAGACCAAGUACAUCAAGGAUCUGCUGUCCAAAGCCUCAAUGCAAGACUACAAAGGAACUGACACUCCUUUCAGCACAGGCUACAAGUUGGAAAGGUCAACAAAAGGCUUAUUGGGUGCUGAAUUUGAGAAUCCAACCCUCUAUAGAAGCAUUGUUGGAGGUUUGCAAUACUUAAUCUUAACCACACCAGACAUUGCAUAUUUAGUGCAUAAGCUUAGUCAGUACCUCAGUGCUCCUACACUUCAACACUGGUUAGCUUGUAAAAAAGUGCUCAGAUACCUUCAAGCUACUGUCACAUAUGGUCUCUAUAUUUAGCAGGAGGGAACUCUGGAAACUAUAGGACUAACAGGAUAUUCAGAUGCUGAUUGGGCAUGUGAUAUUGAUGCCAAAAAAUCCAUUGGAGCAUAUUGCAUUUUCCUUGGUAAUAAUUUGGUUUCCUGGUCUUCAAAAAAGCAAGCCAUUGUAGCAAAAUCUAGUACUGAGAGUGAAUACAGAGCCUUGUCAGCAGCCAGCUCUAAACUUUCUUGGCUGCAAUCAUUAUUCUCUGAGCUCAACAUCACAAAAUUACCAACUUCUGUUCUAUGGUGUGAUAACCAGAGUGCUGGAGAUCUACCUAGAAAUCUAGUUUUUCACUCAAAAUCAAAACACAUAGAGCUAGACAUUCAUUAUAUUAGAGACAAGGUUCUUAACAAAGAAUUGGAAGUGAGGUACAUUCCCACUAAAGAGCAAGUUGCAGAUGUUCUUACUAAGCCCCUGUCAUUUCCUAAGUUUAGUUAUUUUCGUUCCAAGCUCAAUGUGUUCAACAGACCCUUGAGCUUGAGAGGGGAUGUUAAGGAAGCUCACAUGAGCAGAGUAGUCAGUGGAGCAGAGGAUUGCAACACCUGCAGCUUGCUGUUACAGGUUGAUGACAUGGCUUGCCAGCUGGAGCCUGGUGGUUAUAUAGUCUCUUGCACACAUGAAGAUUAGUAGAGUUUGUUAUAGUAUUUAUUGUGCUUGUAAUUCAGUUUUAAUUAGUUAUAACCAGCUGAUUAGCACUUGCAAUUAGUUGAGAAUCAGUUCUAAUUACUACUGAUGUAUAUAAACAGAAGUAUGUACAGAUUCAGUCAAUUAAUGACUUGAGAUAAUAAAAACGAAGAAAGAGUUUUAGAAUUCUCUUAUUUUCCCUUAAGUUUUUUCUGUUUCCAAACAUCAUUGAAUUCUUACUCUCCCCCAAACAUACCCUAUGUCUAGGCAGCUUGUGGAACCUCAUUUUAUUGCUAAAGAAAAAUAGGCUGGUCACACCCUAUGCUUGUUAUAAUAAGCUUAUUGUCAUUGAUUUUUAUUUUAAAUACAAAUUACAUCUCGUUUCUAAGCUAUUGAAUAAAUCUCGUGAAAGUAGUUUGUACACUGACUAUUGUUGUUACAUAUAUUUGGAAAUUUAGAGAACUAUUGAUGGCUUUAUGGUCCCUGCGUUUUGCUUUCCGCUGCAAGAAUUUAAGGCCAGUAUGAUGCAUAAAAGAGAAAGUUUUAAGUAGAAAUGGGGCAGAUUAUUAUAUAUUUUCAAGAUUUUUUCCCCUCCAAUUUCGGUGAGUUUAAUUAACCAAGGUUGAUUCACACAACGGAGAGGGGAAAAAAAAAAUAGGGUUCAAGUUUUAUCAAUUUUCAUCCACAACAUGGGUCCCUUUGAAAAACGGUCAGUGGUGUUGGAUCACCGAUCAUUUAGUCCAAAGUAAACCAUUCAAAGAAAAAUUUGUCUAUUGUCUGUCGACAGUAUCGUCCCGUUAUUGCACACUUCUUUUUGUCCUGAGCUAGCUCUUGAUUGAAUAGUUAGAUCUGAACUAACAUUUUUUUUUUUCGUGGCUGACUAAAGAAGACAAAGACUCUUAUCAAAUUGCCCGUAGUGGAAAAAUUUUAGGUAGCGCGGUACAAAAAUUUAGUAAGAUAGGAUUAGAUGGGGCCAUAGAUAACACAGCACAAAUGUCACACGUAAGACUGCAAAAUCCAAGUCUUUCAAAAGUAAAUUUGGCUGUGGGUAUUUGUGAUUAAUCCUUGAACCGAAAAAUUAGAAAUUGCUCUAAAAAUUGUAGAGCUAGAAAAAAGUAGAAAUUAGUGCAGAACACUCUAUAUUAAAUAAUUUAAUAGAAGAAAGAUUAGAAAAUACAAAAUUUCUAGUAGAUUGCACAUCUCCAUUAGACCCUAUAAUAAUAAUUAAAAAAAGUAAGUGUUAGAUAUUACACUCUUACGUACUUAUCUAUAGUAAAACAUAAUUACAAUAGGCAACUAAAUUUAUUAGAUCAUAUGAAAAUGUAAUUUUAAAAAUUAGAAAUAAACUAGAAUAGUUAAAGAAUUAGUUUAUGAAUUUUCAAAAACUAGCAUAUUUGGAUUUACAAAUUAGUAGUCAUAGGAAAAUAAAAUUAAACUUAAUCAUAAUAUAGAGCAUUUAGAAAAUCAAUAUAAACAUAUUCCAUAUACGAGUAAUGGUCAACAAUAGACUUAAUAAUUAAUCUUGGACAGCACUUAGAAGUUAAACUAGAAAAGCUUAAAGAACUAGUAUUACGGUUAGGACAAUUUUUUGAAGCAAGUAACAUAAAAUACACAAAGAAAGAAUUUAGACUAUAUUAAAGAGUCAUUAGCUGAUUUUAAUAGUCAAAUUACAAGGUUCGGUAAUAAAAAAGAAAUAAUAGAAUUAAUAAAAUUAUUAGACAUAAAAGCACCUAAACUAGUAGAAUUAUAAAUCAAAAGUCUUGUAAAAGUUUUAAAAGUUGAAAUAAAAAUAUUAAAAAUACACAAAGAGAUUUACAAAUACAAUUAAAUUCAAUAAAAUUAAUAGUAAAUGAAUGAGUUUAGAUAAACCGUUAAUAGAGUUCCACAAACAUUUAUCUGUAGUAAAAAAGUAGGAUAUAAUUUUAUUUUAGGAUUAAAUUUUAUAUUAGAAGAUAACAGUAGUAUAUUAACAACUACUAAUGAGAUAAAUUUCUUUAAAAAAUCAACAUUUGUACAACCUAAAUUUGAGAUGCAUAUUUUGCCUUACGAAAAGAAAUCACUAGCAAUGGAAAAAGAAGUAGAUAUUGCAUUUUUUGACUCACUAUCGGAGGAAGAAAAUGCAGUAGAUAGCAAGAUAGAAAGCACUAAGAAUUACAUAAUUAAGUUACACAGAGAUUUAAUAAUUAUAGAAAAAUAGGUAAUCCAUAAUUAGAAGAUAUAGAAAUAAAUAUGCCUAUAGUAAAAAAUUUAAAUACAGAUAAAGAGAAAACUCUACAUAAUAUUAGAGAUAAGAUUAUAGAAUUAAUAUUUAAUAAUCCUAAAAAAUGUUUAGAUGAAGAAUUAUUUGAAGAAUUAUGUAAUAAUGAGGAAUUAACAUAUGAUGAUGUAGAUUAAAAAAAUUCCUAUUUCUUUAAGUUUUUGUAUUAAUUUAAUAUCUUCACUAUAAAAUUUAAAAUACUUUUGUCCAUUUUUACUUAAUUUAUUAUAUAAUGGUCUCAUUAAUGUACUAAGAUUUUGGUAUAAAUUUCUUAUUGUAAUUUAACAAUCCUAAGAAAUUUAAUAUGCCAUAGAAUAUUUGAUUGGCUACUGAAAUAAAAUUUUUUUUACAAUGUCUAUACUAUCACCAAUGAGGGAAGAAAUUUUUUGAAUUUUUAUUAAUUGUCCUACUGGGGAAUGGUUAAAUAUUUUUUCUAGUGCUUGCUUUUGUUGAAGUGUUUUGAGUUUUCUGGUGAUAACUGAUAAGUAAUAAAAUCUGACAUUGAUUUUGCAGUACUAUAUUUUGUCUAAAUAAUUCAUUAUUAGUACUUUCUAAUGCAAUUAACUUUUGUCUACAUUCUUUAAUGGCUUUCAAUGAUCAUUCAAGGUCUCUGUACUUUUCACUCCAUUCUUUUUAUGCCGCUAAUUUAAAAAAAUGCAAGCAAAGAUUCAUUUUCACUUUUGUACAUUAGCUACACAGUAUAAAGAACAAUUGAAAAAAGAAUCUGGAAUUUUCUUGCACUUUACUUUCCCCGUUUUUCAUGCUUGAGCUACAGAGCUAGCCCGAAAAUAUUAUAAGCGGACCCCAAACAAUAAUUAUGUGUUCCUGGUUGACUUGAAAAAUCGAAGUCUUUGGGUCGUGCCUCUGAUAUUUAUUAACACAUAACAUAAGCAUCCACCGAAGACUGAGCCACUGAAGUGCUGAUUCGUGAAGGAUCCACCUGUAUUUAAUUGAAGGAAACUGAAUUUAAGCUUUGCUUCAUUUACUUUAAUUUUCCUUCGUAAGUGACUUGUUUAUUAAUUUGAUGAUAUACUUAUAGAGUCCUACUGAACUUAUGAUCAGGCUAUAUAUUAUUACAAUUAUUGUAUACGGUGACCAUGAUGAAGAUGAUUUUUUUUUUUCCAAGGUCUCAGGACUUGAAUGAAUUUAGAGGAAGGAACGUCGAGACUGGUUUCUGGCGUUGAAAUGAACAGGACCAGUAGGAUCAUGAGAGGAGUAAGAGAAAUAAAUGUUUGUCCAUUUCUGCGUAUUCCGCAGGGUGAAGUAAGAGAAAUAACUGUUUUUGGAGUUCCAUUUCUCUAUAUUCCGCUGCAUGAGGCUUUCUGGCUGUGUUGUUUGUAUUCAAUGGUAUUGGAUCCUGUUUUCUUGUACAUUCCUGUGACCAACGAUGAGAAAAAGUGCUUCCAAUUUGACAGAUGGGUGAUGAGUGUGGUUAUUGCUGAACGUUCAGCAUUUGGUAUAUGGUAUUUGACAAAUAGAACUUCAGAAAUACGGGAGAGUCUACAUCGAAAUUAUAGCAAAUCUCUGUUGCCCGUCUUCCUACUUGAUCUCUCCAUCAUUCUUCCACUCCCACAGGUCAAUGUUUGUUCUGUCUACUUUUAAUUUAUUUGUUCCAACUUGCGAAGGAGGGGCACACACGCACACCUCUGACCGCCCAAAGUAAUUUAUGUUGGAUUCCUAGCAAGCUGUUUGAAAGCUUAAAAGCUUGAAUGAAUAGACUGUUUGGUUACUGAGAAAAUGUAUUUAAAGUGCUAAGAAAAUUUGUAAAAGACUUCUGAAUCAAAUGCUUUAUUUCAUUUUACUUAAUAACAAAAUGAUUACAAGAUGCUUGUAUUUAUACUCAACUGUUUACAGCUUAACAGAAAAUAAAGAAGCUAACUGAAUAUGAUCUUAACGUGUCUAACUAACUUCAGCUGAGCUGGCACUUCACUCUUCAAUUGAUUCAGCUGACUGUAUUCAUCUCACACGUGUGCUGCAUCCUUCCAUGCAUAAUGAGCUUCCUUGACAGCCCCCCUCAAACUCAAGGGGCAUGGUUGCACAUUGAGUUUGUCUAUGAAAUAAUUGAAAUGAAUGAAUGUCAGAGGCUUUGUCAAAGCAUCAGCAAUUUGCUCCUCGCUGGGAAUAUAGUUAAUCUCUAACUCCUUUGCCAAAACUUUGUCUCUAAUAAAGUGCAUAUCCAGUUCAAUGUGUUUAGUCCUUGAAUGAUAAACUGGAUUCUUGGCCAACUCUGUUGCACUUAUAUUAUCACACCAGAUAGUCGGUAAUGAAGUACACUUAAUGUUGAGUUCACUGAAUAAUGGCUGGAUCCAUGUUAUCUCUGCACUUGCAGAAGCCAGAGCACGAUAUUCACUCUCUGCACUGGAUCGUGUAACCACAGCCUGCUUCUUGGAUGACCAUGAAAUUAGAUUGUUUCCAAAAUAAAUGCAACAUGCUCCUAUUGAUUUUCUGUCAUCAACAUCACAUGCCCAAUCUGCAUCUGUAAAUCAUGUGAUCUUCAUUUCCCCACCUGCUGAAAACUUCAAACCAUGAUCUGCAGUUUCCUUAAGGUAUCUAAGAACUCUUUUACAAGCCAUAACAUGCUGGAGUGUUGGAGCUGUCACAUACUGGCUCAACUUAUGCACAUCAAAUGCUAUCUCUGGUCUGGUUAAUACCAGAUAUUGUAAACCUCCAACUAAGCUUCUAUAGCUUGUUGCAUCCUCAAUAUAUUGACCCAAACAGCCUUUGACUUCUUUCUGAAGCUUUGUUCCAGUAACUAUGGGAGUGUCACAGCCUUUACAAUUUUGCAUAUCAGCUUUGGAUAACAAAUCCAAGAUAUAUUUCUUCUGAGAUAAAUAGAUGCAGUCUUUAGCAUAGGAAACUUCUAUCCCCAGAAAAUAUGACAGAAUUCCCAAGUCUUUUAAGGCAAAAGUCUUACUGAAUUCUUAGAUGAAUUUUUCCAGCUCACCAUUAUCAGGUCUUGUUAUUAGAAUGUCAUCAACAUAGAUUAAGAUAAGUAUCAUUGAACCCUGCACUUCUUUGAAGAAGAGAGAGGUAUCAGCCUUUGAAUUCUGAAAUUUCCAAUUAGCAAUAAGACAAUUCUUAAGCUUGUCAUACCAAGCUCUAGGAGCUUGCUUCAAGUCAUACGAGGCUUGAUUAAGCUUACAUAUAUGAUUGGGUUUUUGUUGAUCAAUAAAACCUUCAGGCUAAUACAUAUAGACAUCCUCUGUCAAGUUUCCAUUCAAGAAGGCAUUAUUCACAUCCACUUGCCUUAUUUUCCAUUUAUGCAUCACAGCUAAACUCAGAACAAUCCUUAUUGUUGAAGCUUUUACAACUAAGCUAAAGGUCUCAAAGUAAUCCACACCUUCAGUUUGCUGAAAACCUUUGGCAACCAACCUGGCCUUGUGUUUGGCUAUGCUUCCAUCAGUAUUUUGCUUAAGUCUAAACACCCAUUUGUUGUCAACUACUUUGUAUGCAUUUGAAAAUGGUACCAGUGACCAAGUCUUAUUCUUUAUCAAAGCUUCAUACUCAUCUACCAUGGCUUGAUGCCAAUUCUGACUACUAAGAGCUUCUUGAACUGUACUGGGUUCUUUGUUGGCUAAGGUGACUGUAUAGACCUUUGGUUUGAAGAUUCCAGAUUUUGAUCUGGUAAUCAUUGGAUGAGAAGAUGGUUGGGAAUGAUUUCUAGUUUGAAUUUUGUCUAUGUUAUGUGGAAUAGAAGUUUCCUCUGAUUGUAGAAUGGAUGAUUGUACUGGUAAUGUGUUUGGUGAUAGUGAGGUUGAGGAUGAUAACUCUAAAGAUGUGUGUGAUGGAUGUUCUUGUUGAUUCAGAAUAUCUGUAUGUGUGGGAACAGAGGGCAUUUGUUCACUUCUUGCUGAGCCUGCUGAUUGAAGACCUUCAAAGCUGCUGUUGGGUAAGGCCAUUGUAGAAAGAUGAUAGAUAUGUUGUUGAGAGAAAUUAGACACUGAGGUUUCAGAAGAUAUGGGGUUUUCUGAUGAGUGAGAUGUAGUGUUUAUUGGAUAAGGGAAUGUGUUUUCAUAAAAAAUGACAUGUCUAAGAACAUAGACUUUGCCAGAACUUGCUAAGCACUUGUAUCCUUUAUAAGAGGGAUUGUAUCCAAUAAAAAUGCAUUUAAAGGUGUGAAAAUCAAACUUAUGUUUGUUAAAAUCUCUCAAGUAUGGGUAGCAAAGACAACCAAAACACUUCAGGAAUGUGUAAUCUGGUUUGUGUUUGAAAAGUUUCUCUUAAGGAGAUAAGAAUUUCAGAACAGGGGUAGGCAAUCUAUUAAUAUGAUACACUGCUGUAUGAACAGCUUCCCACCAGAAUUGAAGAAAAAUGUUUGCUUGAGCCAUGAGGGUUAAGCCUAGCUCAACUAUAUGCAUGUGUUUCCUCUCAACAAUACCAUUCUGGUGAUGAGUGUAAGGACAUGAGUGUCUAAACAUUAUUCCAUUUUGAUUCAGAAAAUCAAUAAAUGCUCUAAACUCUCCCCCAAGGUCAGAUUGUAGCCUCUUAAUUUUGGUAUCAAACUGAUUCUCAACUUGAGUUUUGAACAAUUUAAAAACUUCAAAUGCUUGUGAUUUAACAGUUUCUAUGUUAUCUGCUUUCAAACACUGUGAUAAUAGUACUCGAGCUUGCUAUCAGUUUGUUUUAAAUAAGUGUAAUGUCAAACCUGAUAUGAUAACUUUGUUACAUAGAAAGUUUGGUCAUCCAAGCUCAAUGACAUUGGUGCAUUUGCUCAAAUCAUGUAAACAGUUUAAAGUCUCUCCAAAAGACAUGUUAUCUUCUGCAAAUACUUUAUGUGAAGCAUGUCAGCUAGGCAAAGUCCAUAAGCAACAUUUCUCAAUAACUGAAACAAAAACAAAAGGGGUAUUAGAAUUGAUUCAUACUGAUCUUUGGGGGCCUUCACCCACUGUGUCUAGAGAUGGAUACAAAUACUAUAUUAGUUUUGUGGAUGAUUAUACUAGGUACUCUUGGAUCUAUCCUCUUAAGCUCGAGUACUAUUAUCACAGUGUUUGAAAGCAGAUAACAUAGAAACUGGUUUAUUUGGUUGGGAUUUACAAAGAUAAGAUGUAGGUGAUGAAGAAAGAGAAUUAGAUUUCAGCAGCAGCUUGUAAAGGCCUUUUUCAGCAAUACCCUGCAGAAGAACUUGACCCUUUAUGUCCUUCACAAAACAAACAUUUCCACAAAAUUCAACAGAUACAGGAUUAUCAGAUGUGAGUUUGGAAAUACUUAAUAGAUUUUUGGCAAUUGAAGGAGCAAGUAACACAUCUUUAAGUGUUAUUCUAGCAUGUGUAGAUAAAGAUUUAGAAGCUCUUAAUACCAGAAAUGCAUGUCCAACAUGAGUAAUAGACAAACCUUGACCAUUUCGAAUGAUAAGCUGAUCAGUACCUUUAAACUCUUCAUUGAUAUGCAAAUUCUCCAUAUUGUUGGUUAAAUGGUGAGUUGCCCCACUAUCCAGAUACCAUCCAUCAUCAGCAGUCCCUUCAAAAUUAGCCAUGAAAGCUGUUCCAGCUGCUCCAGAAGUGUAUCCAUCCGUUCUAGAAUAGUAACUAUUGCCAGAUAUAGAAUCAUAACCUGGAAACAUAUUAUUAUUUUCAUAGCCAAAAUCUGGAUUAGAAGUAGAGCCAUCAAAGUUUGAGAAAUAUGCUGCUCUUGGUGUUUUUUCCCUGCCAAAACCUCUUGGAACAGGUACAAAGUCUUCAACAAAUCGGUGCCAACAAACAUCAGCUGUAUGACCAUUCUUAAAGCAAAUCUGACAUACCAGCUCCCCAGCAUUAUUAAAGCUUCCUUGUGAUCCACUCAUAUUAGCACCAUUUCUAGCUAGAAAGGAUGAGUUCUUAGGUACUGGAUUCCUAGGAGCUGAAAAAUGAUUGAAAUCAGCUGAGUUAUUUCUAGGAAAAAAUCCUCUGCCAUAUCCAUUUCUAACACCUCCAUUAAAUAUUCUUGGAGAGUAAUUCAUAUUUGCUCUGCCAAAGAAAGGAGUUCUACCACCAGAAUAACCUCCUCGUUUAAAACUUCCUCUACGUUGUGCAAAAUAAGCUCUAGGAUAAUAUGCAUUCGUAUAUGCAUAGUUUGCAUUAAACAUACUUCUGUCACCUUGCUCCUGCUCUAAUCUAGUCUCAUGAGUGAGUAACAGUGCAUAAGCAUCAUCAAAUUCCAUUCGUGAACCAUUUAUAAAUGUAGCAAUAUCACGAACUCCUGGUCCUAAUCCAUUAAGAAUAGUUAACAUAAGAUCCUUCUCUGUAAUUGAACUACCAGCAUUGGCUAGCUUAUCAGCUAUUGCUUUUAUUUUAAUACAAUAAUCUUCAACACUAAGAGCUUCCUUUUUAAGAAUGUUUAGUUCAUAUCUGAGCUGAAGAACUCGAGCUUCAAAUUGAACUCCAAAUUUCUUUUCCAAAGUUUUCCAUAUAUCAAAUGAACUCUCACAAUUGAUAACAAGACUUAAGAUACCUUCACUUAAUGAUGACAGUAGCCAGCCAAGAAGUGUCUGAUCCUGUGAUCUCCAGAUCUGAUAUUCUGGAUUUUCAAUUUGUUGUGUAGAUCCAUUUGCUUGAGUUAACAGAAGACACUUAUCAGGUACUGAUUUGGCUCCUGUGACGAAAUCUUCCAAACGAUUGCCUCUUAUUGAAGCUAAAACUUGAGAGCGCCAGAGUAAGUAAUUUGAUCGAUCUAACUUGAUAGGAUUAGUAAAGGAGAAGUUGAUUUGAGUAGAUUGAUUUGUGUUGUUUGUUGUUUGAUUACGAAAGCUUGACUGUUGAUUACUAGAACUAGCUCUGUAUGGCUCUGAUACCAUGUUUGAAAGCUUAAAAGCUUGAAUGAAUAGACUGUUUGGUUACUGAGAAAAUGUAUUUAAAGUGCUAAGAAAAUUUGUAAAAGACUUCUGAAUCAAAUGCUUUAUUUCAUUUUACUUAAUAACAAAAUGAUUACAAGAUGCUUGUAUUUAUACUCAGUUGUUUACAGCUUAACAGAAAAUAAAGAAGCUAACUGAAUAUGAUCUUAACGUGUCUAACUUACUUCAGCUGAGCUGGCACUUCACUCUUCAAUUGAUUCAGCUGACUGUAUUCAUCUCACACGUGUGCUGCAUCCUUCCAUGCAUAAUGAGCUUCCUUGACACAAGCAUGUAUAGGUUGUAUUUUGUACGAUUAAUUUUCUUUUUUUUUUAAUAUUUACAAACUAUUCAGGUGUUGGUGCUUCUAGCUUAUAGUCAAAGAAUUAGUGGCCAGGAAUUUUUCUCUCUGAUGAACCUGUUUCUUGUACAACAUGGGUUAAAGGUUAUCCGAUUGGCUAAAUUGAUUACAGAAUGGAAGAAUUCAUAUAACCUUAAUAAAUGGGCCAAUCUGACGUUCAAUUUCGGUUACCUACAGGCUGCUAACGUAAGUUUACUUGCCUCUUAAGUCUCCAAAAUGUUCUAUUUCUCUUUACUGUUUUUUGGGUAAUUUAUAGUUCCUGGUGAUCUACUUGACGGUUCUUUAGGUGUUUGGAUCAUUAUGGUACUUUUUCGCUGUACAAAGAAAGGCUGAAUGUUGGAAGAAAGCCUGCACAGAUUUUACCAGAUGUGAUUUCCUUCCUUUGCACUGCGAUGACAGUUUAACAAACUACACAUUUUUUAGUGAUUUUUGCUCUACAAAGACCCAAAAUGCAACUAUCUAUGAUUUUGGGAUAUUCCGUGAUGCUAUUCAAUCGGGUGUUUUGGAUCAAAACUAUUUUUUUCGGAGGUACUUGCCUUGUUUUCAAUGGAGCCUGCAAGCUCUCAGGUUAAGGCUUACAUUUAUCUUGAGCAAUAAGCACAAAGAUCCAAUUCUACUAGUGAGCAAAAAACACGAGGGACAUGAUAAGACUUGCAGCCUCUCGGGGCCAAAAGUUUGGUUAAUGAACCGUAGAUUGAGACUAUGCAUAUGGAUAAGUUCUAACCUCAAGUCGUAACUAUUAGUUGCCUGCGGCCCCAACUCAAUCAAAAGGUGCUACAGAAAUUACAUAUUUAUUGGAAAUUUUUUUUUUUUGGUUGUUUGAUUAAUUGUGCAUGAAGUCAAAGUCUUGAGGAACCACAGUGUCUAGAUACUUAUUAGCACAUAAGAUAAGCAUGCUCUGAACUCCGAAGACUCAGCCACUGAAGUGAUGAUUUGUGAAGGAUCCACCUGUAUUUAAUUGAAGGAAACUGAAAUCAAGCUUUGCUUCAUUUACUUAAAUUUCCCUUCCCCUUCGUUGAUUAUGUAAGCCUUAAGCGAGUUGUCUAUUAAUUUAAUGACAUACGUAUAGAACCCUACUGAGCUGAAGUGCAAGCUAUGUAUUAUUACAAUUAUCGUAUAUGGUGAUGACGAUGAAGUUGACUUUAUUUUUUCAGGUCUCGGGACUUGAAUUUAGAGGAAGGAACGCCGAGACGAGUUGCUAGUGUUGAAAUGGACUGCAUCAGUUGGAGCGCGAGAGAAGCAGCAAAAUCUGUUUAUCGCACUCUGAACGAAAGCUUGGGUAAUGGAGGAAAAACAUGCCUUCAGCAGAUUCGUGAUCUGCCGAUACGUUUCCUGGAAGUUAAUUUUUUGCUGAUUUAUGUGUAUUCCAUGGUAUUUGAUCCUGUUUUCUUGUACCUUCCCGUGAUCAACGAUGACAAAAAGUGCUUCCAAUUUGACAUAUGGGCUUUGAGGGUGGGUAUUGUUGAACGCACAGGAUGUGAUAUAUAUUUUUUGAUAAAUAAUGCUUUUCAACUAUGGGAGAAUUGGCAUCGAAAUUAUAGCAUAUCUCUGUUGCCCGUCUUCCUAUUUGAUCUCGCCAUCAUUCUUCCACUCCCACAGGUAAAUGUUUGUUCUGUCGUACUUUUUACUUAUUUGUUCCAAUUAGCCAAGCAAGGGCACGCGCGCACACCUAUGGACGCCCAAACCAAUUUAUGUUGGAUUUCUAGCAAGCACACAGGUUGUAAUUUUUUUCUUUUCAUAUGGAAUCAUAUUUCAUAAUUGAUAAUUCUAUCUUUAUGGUGUACAAACUGUUCAGGUGUUGGUGCUUCUAGUUUAUAGUAACGUGAUGAGUGGCAAGAAAUUUUUCUCUGUGAUGAACCUGUUUAUUGUCCAACAUUUGCUAAAGGUUAUCCGAUUGUAUGCAUUGAUUAAAGAAAGGAAGAAUUCAUAUAAACAAACUAAAUGGGCCAGGCUCACGUUCAAUCUCUUUUACCUACAUGCUGCUAAUGUAAGUUUACUUGCCUCCCAAGUCUCCAAUAUAUUCUAUUUCUCUUUACUCUUUUUGGGUAAUUUAUAAUUCCUGAUGAUCUAAUUGAUGGUUGUUUAGGGGUUUGGAGCAUUAUGGUACUUUUUUGCUCUACAAAGAAAGACCGAAUGUUGGAGGAAAGCCUGCACAGAUUCUGCCAAAUGCCGUCUCCUUCCCUUACACUGUGACAACAGUUUAACAAACUACACAUUUUCUAAUGAUUUUUGCUCUACAAAGACUCAAAUUGCAACUACCUACCAUUUUGGGAUAUUCUAUGAUGCUAUUAAUUCUAGUGUUAUUGAGCAAAACAAUUUAUUUCUGAGGUUCUUCCCUUGUAUUCGAUGGAGCCUGCAAAAUCUCAGGUUAAGUUGUGGAUAUACAUCAUUCUCCUUGUAACAAUCUUUGUGCAUAUGCCUUUCUAUGUUUUUGGUGCAUAUAAUUACGCAUACGUAUUUUUAUGUUUUUUUAGCAAUUAAACUCAAAAACAUUAGUUCUAAUAAAUUUGUGGGUUUGACUUUGCAGUUCUUUUGGUCAAGGUCUCCCAUUCAGUACCAAUGUCUUGGAAAACAUCUUUGUGAUUUCAAUUACCAUCACUGGGGUAGUGCUGUUUUUCUUCUUGAUUGGAAAGGUCCAGGUUGGUGUAUCUUUAUUUUAUUUUAUUUUAUUUUAUUUUCUCGUCUGAUUCUUGUCUCUUAAAAUGGGUUCUUUAUGGUUGAUUGAGAUGAAGCACAAUAAAUUUUAAUUUUCUAUGAACUAUGAUUCUUGCGCAAUUUGCAGUCUGAAAUGUCAAAAGCAGAGGAGAUAAGACAGAAGGUACAAGAAAUAUACAAGUGGCGGCCCGUUGAAAAGCUCCCUGAGAAACUCCAAAUGGAGAUCAAGGAACAUCAGUUAUCCAAAGUGCAAGAAACCACAGGUAUUGAUGUAGAAUAUCUGGUGAACAAUCUUCCAGAGGACCUCAGGAAGAACAUAAAACAAAAACUCUGCUUAGACCUGCUAAAAAAAGUGAGUAAGAGAUCUUUACAACUAUAUUUGUGCCUCCUACUUCUGAAUUUGUGGAACUGACAAAGGAGAGGCUAGCAGCAUAUAAACAACAAUCCGAAAAACUAAUGAAAAUAUUUUCCUCUUCUUUAACUCGAUCGAAUAAACUCAAGGGUAAAUGUUUGUAACUAUUUGAACUUUUGCAUGGUUUUGAAAGCGCAAUAGCUAAAGUCCACAUCACCUCAACAUAAACUCAACCCUGAUAUGUUUUUAGCGUUGGGGAAUGAAUCUCAUUUUAGCUGAGAUAGUUCUAGAUCAACUUUUAUUUUCAAUUUUCUGCAUUCAGAAGCUGAAUUUCAUUAUCAGCAUUGAGCCUUUUAGAUUACAGUAACAAUAUUGGAUGUAUGUUUGUAUAGGUAGAAGAGUUUGGAAACUUGGAUGGUUCAUCGUUGGAGAAACUGUGUGAUGUUGUGAAGCCAGCUGUCUUCACAGAGCGCUCUUACAUUAUCCAGGAGGAAAACCCAAUUGAUCAAAUGCUCUUCGUGCUACAAGGCAAGUUAUGGACCUACACUUCCAGGAGGGUAACUGAAUUAUCAAGCAAUUCUGGUAACCUGAACAACCAUCUGGAAGGUGGUGACUUUUCUGGAGAAGAACUCAUUGCUUGGGCGAAGGCUGGCCACAACUCAUCCAACCUCCCUAUAUCAACUAAAACAAUCCAAGCGCUUACAAAAGUUGAAGCAUUUGUUCUUAUGGCAUAUGAUUUAAAGCAGGUACUAUUGAAUAUUGAUAAUUAAGCAAAACAAUGCAGCUACCGUAUGCAAGUAUUCUGACAAACUAGAUGGAGUGCGCAAGCGUCGGCUACUAAAAUAAUAGUUUGAGCAUUCAGAUCAGAUGCGGCAUCGUUAGUAUUUUAGGGCGUGUUCAUGAUCUUAAUUAAGGACCUAUCCCAAGAAUAAAUUUGGACGGAAGUAUAUGAGUUUGAGAUAUUCGAAACCGAAGCCUGAUACAGUUGAUGUGUAUAUAUAUGAAGUUAGCAUUACUCCGUUAUAGUGUUUGAUUAUAUAUAUUUUCUAUGUCCUAAUUUCUAGUUCGGAUGGCAGUAUGGACCGUCUCUUUUCCAGCAAAAUGUAUCAUUCAGAAAUUAUGCGUACACCAAGGGAGUAAGCAUUUAACUGCUAAACUUCAGUCCGUAAUGGAAUUACCAAGCUCUAACACACGCGCGCAGAGUUGACUCACAAGAGAACUUAACAAACUAAUAUCUUGGCUUGCUUGUGGCACUGUCAGCACUCAGUAAAGAUGGGAAAAUUCUUAGGUGACUUGGAUGAUGAAGAUAAUAGAAAUUAUAACUAGUAGAGAUACAUCGAAUGAUAUUAAAUUAGUGUGUUCCUGAUUUUAAUAUUUAUUCCAUCCUAUAAUGGGAAAAUUUUAUUAAUCAAUCCAUCGCUAAGAUGGCCACUGGCAAAACUUUUAUAAUAAAAGAAAAUCUAAAUUGAACGAUAAUCAUAUAAUUUUCAUGAAGUUUAAAAGUAAGCUAUUAAUAUAAUAAAAUAAGUAUUAAUUGUCAAAUGAGAACUGUUGAUGUUGAAAUCUGCUCGCCCUUUACCCGACCAGAUUUUCCACCAACGUUUAUAUGUUUGAUGGGACGAUGUCACUCUCUCCUUGCCUUAACGACCGCUUACGUCACUAGGUUGAAAUCACCCCUUUUUAUCUCGCUAAUCCUGCAUUCACAAAGAAAUGGAUCAGAGACGCCGGUGGUUUUACCGGCGUAAACCCUCCGAUGCCUAAGUUAGCACAAGGUGUUUACGGGAAAACGGUUCAAUUUAGAUUUCAGAAUGGCUUACGAUUCGCUCUCAAUUUAGGCAGAAAAACAGUCUAGUUUCAUUUUGGCAGAGUUUUCCCUCUCUCUCAGUUUUCUUAUCUCUUUUUCAUUGGUUUCUUCCUCUUUUAUAGCCGCUGUCCCACGUUUCUGAUCACCCUUCAUCCCCCCUUUCUCGGGUCAUGGCAGCCCCUCAUGGGACUCCAACUGCUACAUUGUGGGCAAACAUGGGACAUCGUGUCUCCCUCAACAGUUCUGGGAAAAGCGCAACUGUCGAGAUCUUGUGAGAUCGUGUUCCCGCUCUUUGGGGAAUGAGUAUCUGCUCGGUAUAUGUCUCUGGUCGGUGUAUCCCCCUGGCCGGUACUCAUCUUUGGUCGGUCCAUGCUUGUAUAAGGCUCAUUAUCAGUGCUCUGCUCGUACCAUUUGGCUGAGGUGACCCACCCCGGGGUGGGGAUGAUGAUAUGGCAGAGCUGAUGCUCUUAUUUACUUAACAAGAACCAUGAUACAUUGCUAUAAUCAGAUCAUCAACAAAGUCUCCAAGGUCAAGCUCAAGGCGUAACCCCUCGUCUACAUAUAUCAUAAUCAUCCUAUAAACUAUAACAUGGGAAGCACUAAAUCUCGCUAAUCAUAAAUAAAUGGGAUGAUUGCUAUGAAUCAUUAGGACGCGCAGAUUCGUUGACUUGGAGUUGGAGAAUCACUAAGUACGCUCACCUCCCUCUUCAAAAAUGCAGGCAACGCGGAGGCAACUAUAUAAUUGAAUCUGUCAACACAACACAAAUAUUAAAUGCAGGCCAUCAUACUUUCUCAUCUAACACAGUAACACUACCAAAAUAUUAACUCAAUGACAAUUCAACCACACAAGCAUUUAGGUUAUCUAAGAAAAAGAAUCAAGAAGCAACGACCAAGGAAAGCUAGACUUGAAAUGAGGAGCCUUUACCUCUGAGGUAUAGAACCUUAAUUCUCUUUUAUGCUUGUCAGCUCCAUCCAACUUCUCAAUAGGAUAGAUGGGGUUCGCAAAAUCAACAUGAGGUCCCUCUGUUGAGCAUAUCAGAAACCCAAUGACACCACCGUAACCAAGAAAAGAACCCUCAAUCGUAAAAAGAUUUCACAGGAUACAUUCAAUUCCAUAACCAAAUCUUGUGUCUGGACUUAUGCAAUCUAAAGCAUAAACAACAAAUUUCCCACUUCUCAAAACAUCAUUAAGUAGAAAAUUCAAAGUUUGAACUUAAUGAUAAAAACAAUUGAGAUUAAUAUCGUUUCUGAAGCUGUCAAACUUCAAAAAAAUGAUUAUCAAAAGAUUAAUAGAACUACAGAUAUCAAUAGAACGGAGUGCAACAUUACCUUGGGUAUAUUGCCAAAACAUCAAACAGUUAUUUUCCUAAACAAGCAACAGUAUUUUAUAUAAUCUUAAAAAUUUUCCAAAACAUAAGUACCAAGUUUAUAUUGCCGAAACAGAACCAUUUGACAAUUUAAAUAUAAGUUAGCCACCCAUUUUAUUCAGUACAUGAAAUGAAUAAAUAAACGCUAAUGCAUCCAUAACUCUUUAUGAACACUAAUUAUUCUUGAAAUAAAAUUUUUUUUUGUGACAAUCGCUUUACUUAUUAUUUAUUGUAAUUCGUCCUUAAUCUGAUGCCUCUGGAAGAUUUAUAAUUCCUAUGGCCAUCCAAAAUGCAUAAAUAAAUGCUCAUCAGUUGAGGCCUUGUAAGCUGUGAAAGAUUACUUAUUGACUUUGGAAAGAGUUUUAAUUUAACAAUCACAUUAUCUUGAUUUGUAUGUUUUAAGUUUAAAUAUUUGUAAUAAUAGAUUACAGAUAAUGAGAUAAAUAUAACUAAAUUAUUGGAUUCAAUUUAUAAGAGAGAAAAAUUCUUUGGUACUUGAAGAGUAUUAUUUUUUAUCUAUUCAUUUUAAUAUGUAUAUAAAAUAUUAUUACGAAUAAUUAAUAUAUAACCACAAUAAAUAAUUAAUAAUUUAAAAAACACACAGAAUAAUAAUACACUUAAAACACUCAAUAAUUUUACCCAAUUCUUUGAUGACUGGAUAAAGAUGGCCACCGACAAUGAUAUUUACUUUAUUUUUUUUAGUUUUUGUUUGUUUUGUUCAUUGGGUGUGCAAUAAAAUUAAUCCAGAAUUUUUUUAUUAUUAAAUAAUAAAAAAUUUAAUUUUUGAUUGGUGCCGUGCACUCCUGUUGUAAAAUGGAGACAUGUAGUAGUCAUAUCGAUUUUAUUAUUGUAACUAACAAAAUUUGAAACUUGCGUGCAGUGCAAUCAAUUCAAAAUUUAAAAAUUGUGAAAGAAGUUGUUGUGCAUUUGUGCUUCUCAGUUUCCUAUCAACCACGCCCACUAGGAGUGGGCAUAUUUUAACCGAACCGAUCCAAACCGAUCAUUUGGAUCGGUUUCAUUAGUAAAAAAACUGAUUUUAGUUUAUUGGAUUGCAAACCGACAUCACUCGGUUUGGAUUUCGGUUUGGAAGGAUUCCAAACCGAUUCAAACCGAUCCAAUCUAGAAAUAUUAUAUAAUUACAUUAUAUUCUAAGUUAAGCAAUCUAACUAAUUAUAUUUAUCAUUUUAUGCAGAUUUUGACAAAUCAAAAGUAAUUGGGCCAUAAGUUUUGACGGACAAGAUGCACAAUAUUUUAAUUGUCAAAUGUUGUUUAAGUUUAUUUUAAUUUUGUGAGUUUGUUUUGAAUGAACAUGUUAAGAACAUCUUUAUUAGGAUGUAUUAUGCUGCAAACUUGUAUGGAUGUAUCUUUGAAUUGUUAUGUAGAUAUCAAAGUAGAUAUGAAUAAUAUAAAAGAGGUAUCAAUUUGGAUUACGGACACAAAAAAAAACAAAUAAUUUAGGUAAAAUAAUAUAAAAGAAGUGGGCUUUUAGCUAAUAAGCUCAAACCGAGGAUCCAAACCGAUCCAAACUGAUCCAAUCAGUUUGGAUCGGUUCGGUUUGAAAAAAUUUUAGGUUGAUAUCGGUUUGAAAAUAUUUCAAACCGAUCCAAACCGAAUUUGCCCACCCCUAACGCCCACACACUUGCCUUUGCGAAUACACGGCUUCACAAAAAUUAAGAUUACGUGAUUCACCCAUUCGCAAGUAUUCGUAGUUCAUUAAAUAUUUUCGACUACUCUCACCAACCAAACUAACAGAAUUAAUUUUUUUUCUUUUUACCAUUGCCUAAUAAUAAUUAUGAACAGAUUGUCAUCUCAUUCAUUCACCAAUACCCAACAACAUAUAAGAACCAAGCACCUAACACAAACACGAUAUUGAAUGAAUCUUAAUAAAAAAAAAAAUCAAUGCACGAAUGUACGAGAACUGUAAUUAAAAAUUUAAUAAUUGCGAAACCAAAAUGAACAGCAAGAAGCAAGCAAACCCCUAAAAGCUUUAAUCUUUAAUUUGUUUUACCAUUAAUUUACAAAACCAAAGAAACCGAAGCCUGUUCAAGUGCCUGGUAGAAUCAGAAAUGCAUUUUUUUUUUAACCAGAAAGGGUGUUAAAAAUUGUACCUUUAACAACUUUUCAGGGAGUGAGAAAGUGUUUAUGCAAUGCACUUGAAAAAGGGUUUGUGAAAUUUUUAUUUGUUAUUGAGUUCGACACUUUCUGUCGCGAGAAAGUGAGAGAAAACUGGAAGGAACAUAAUGAGAUGGGAGAUUGUGGUCGGCACGUGCCAGAUUCGUUCAUGUGUGACACGUGGCGGAAUCUUUAAUGAUGUAAAACUCUACAUCAACGAGAUUACAAAUCCAGAUGAAGAUACCUUAACCGUCCUUUGUUUGCCUGCCACGGACGUAUAUUGCAGUGUAAUUUUCUUUUGAUAAAAAUGAGACAUUUCUCGUAUCAUAAGUAAGCCCCAGCACAAUUUUCUGACUGUAAAAGUGAAAAAUACAAUAGUAUUGGCAGACAGUAAUUACAGUAUGACAUUAAAAUUUAUAUACAAAGUAUUUAGACUUCUAUUACCUGGUUUAUAUACUACAAUCUAGACAUCAUAAGAUGGUCAGAGAAUCAACAAAAGACAAUGAAAUUCAAUCACGUAAUAUGCUCAUAUAGUGAACUAAGUUAUGUCUGAGAGUGACGAGCCAGAAAAAAUUUUCGAUUGGAUCAAAUUCAACAUAUAAUACAAUGUCAUCUCUUAAUGAAAUUCAGCUGACUGAAAAAAUGUUUUGCACCCGCAGUCAUCUGAGUUCAAAUAAUAAUAAAGGGUGAGAAUUAGUCUUUAACAAAUGAGAUUUCUUUAUCUCCAUUUUAAACCCUUAUUAGUAUAAUACAAUUUCAUAAGAAUUUAAAUAACAAUAUAUGACCAUUGAUUUAUUUUUUACACAAAAAUUCAGUGUUUGAACUAGCAGUAAGUAAGUUCAAUUUUUGAACUAGAGAUAAGCACUGAACUUUUCAUAAUUUUAAAACUCAAAUGGGAUAUUUUUAUAAAAUCAAAGGAAGUAAGGUCAGAGGUCUUCAAAAAUUUUCUAAAGCGACCGGGGACGCAGGCCCCGACUGUUCCUACCAUUGCUCAAAUUUGUAAUGGGCAUCGUGACAUUGUUCACAAGUUUGGAUUUGGAUUCUUAACAAGUUCAUAUUUGUAAGGCUUACAUUUAUCUUGAGCAAUAAGCACAAAGACUCAAUUCUACUAGUGAGCAAAAAACACGAGGGACGUGAUAAGGCUUGCAGCCUCUCGGGGCCAAAAUUUUGGUUAAUGAACCGUAGAUUGAGAAUGUGCAUAUGGAUAAGUUCUAACCUCAAGUCGUAACUAUUAGUUGCCUGCGGCCCCAACUCAAUCAAAAGGUGCUACAGAAAUUACAUAUUUAUUGGAAUUUGUUUUGUUUUUUUGGUUGUUUGAUUGAUUGUGUAUGAAGACAAAGUCUUGAGGAACCACAGUGUCUAGAUACUUAUUAGCACAUAAGAUAAGCAUGCUCUGAACUCCGAAGACUCAGCCACUGAAGUGAUGAUUUGUGAAGGAUCCACCUGUAUUUAAUUGAAGGAAACUGAAAUCAAGCUUUGCUUCAUUUACUUAAAUUUCCCUUCCCCUUCGUUGAUUAUGUAAGCCUUAAGCGAGUUGUCUAUUAAUUUAAUGACAUACGUAUAGAGCCCUACUGAGCUGAAGUGCAAGCUAUGUAUUAUUACAAUUAUCGUAUAUGGUGAUGACGAUGAAGUCUCGGGACUUGAAUUUAGAGGAAGGAACGCCGAGACGGGUUGCUAGUGUUGAAAUGGACAGCAUCAGUAGGAGCGCGAGAGAAGCAGGAAAAUCUGUUUAUCGCACUCGGAUCGAAAGCUUGAGUAAUGGAGAAAAAACAUCCCUUCAGCAGAUUCGUGAUCUGCCGAAACGUUUCCUGGAAGUUAAUUUUUUGCUGAUUUAUGUGUAUUCCAUGGUAUUUGAUCCUGUUUUCUUGUACCUUCCCGUGAUCAACGAUGACAAAAAGUGCUUCCAAUUUGACAUAUGGGUUUUGAGGGUGGGUAUUGUUGAACGCACAGGAUGUGAUAUAUAUUUUUUGAUAAAUAAUGCUUUUCAACUAUGGGAGAAUUGGCAUCGAAAUUAUAGCAUAUCUCUGUUGCCCGUCUUCCUAUUUGAUCUCGCCAUCAUUCUUCCACUCCCACAGGUAAAUGUUUGUUCUGUCGUACUUUUUACUUAUUUGUUCCAAUUAGCCAAGCAAGGGCACGCGCGCACACCUAUGGACGCCCAAACCAAUUUAUGUUGGAUUCCUAGCAAGCACACAUAGGUUGUAAUUUUCUUUUUCUUUUCAUAUGGAAUCAUAUUUCAUAAUUGAUAAUUCUAUCUUUAUGGUGUACAAACUGUUCAGGUGUUGGUGCUUUUAGUUUAUAGUAACGUGAUGAGUGGCCAGAAAUUUUUCUCUGUGAUGAAACUGUUUAUUGUCCAACAUUUGCUAAAGGUUAAGCGAUUGUAUGCAUUGAUUAAAGAAAGGAAGAAUUCAUAUAAACAAACUAAAUGGGCCAGGCUUACGUUCAAUCUCUUUUACCUACAUGCUGCUAAUGUAAGUUUCCUUGCCUCCCAAGUCUCCAAUAUAUUAUAUUUCUCUUUACUCUUUUUGGGUAAUUUAUAAUUCCUGAUGAUCUACUUGAUGGUUGUUUAGGGGUUUGGAUCAUUAUGGUAUUUUUUCGCCGUACAAAGAAAGGCUGAAUGUUGGAAGAAAGCCUGCACAGAUUUUACCAGAUGUGGCCUCCUUCCUUUACACUGUGAUGACAGUUUAACAAACUACACAUUUUCUAGUGAUUUUUGCUCUACAAAGACUCAAAAUGCAACUAUCUAUGAUUUUGGGAUAUUCCGUGAUGCUAUUCAAUCUGGUGUUUUGGAUCAAAACAAUUUUUUUCGGAGGUACUUUCCUUGUUUUCAAUGGAGCCUGCAAACUCUCAGGUUAAGUUGUGAAUAUACAUCAUUCUUCUCUUAACAAUCUUUUUGUGUACGCCUUUCUUUGUUUUUUGUGCAUAUAUUAAAGCAUACGUAUGUUUGUGUUUUUUAUCAAUUAAGCUCAAAACAUUGGUUCUAACACAUUUGUGGGUUUGACUUUUGCAGUUGUUUUGGUCAAGGUCUCCCGUUAAGUACCAAUGUCUUGGAAAACAUCUUUGUAAUUUCAAUUACCAUCACUGGGGUAGUGUUGUUUUUCCUUUUGAUUGGAAAGGUUCAGGUUGGUGUACCUUAUUUUUUUCAUUUUUUUCUUUUAAUCAUCUGCAUCUUGUCUCUCAAAAUUGGUUUUUAUGCUUGAUUAAGAGGAAGCGCAAUAAAUUUUACUUUUCUAUGAACCAUGAUUCUUGGGCAAUGUGCAGUCUGAAACGUCAAAAGUAUAUGAGAUAAGACAGAAGGUACGAGAAAUAGACCGGUGGCUGCCCUUUGGAAAGCUCCCUAAGAAACUCCAAAAGGAGAUCAAGGAAUAUCAGAAAUCGAAAUUGCAAACCACGGGUGUUGACGUAGAGUAUGUGGUGAAUCAUCUUCCAAGGCACCUCAGAAAUAACAUAAAACAGAAGCUCUGCUUAGACUUGCUAAAAAAAGUGAGUGAGAAAUCUUUACAACUAUAUUUGUGUCUGCUAUUCGUUAAUUUGUGAAAUUGACAAAGGAGAACUAAUAAAAAUAUUUUGCUCUUUUGUAGCCAAUCGAAUGAACUCGAGGGUAAAUGUUUGUAACUGUUUGAACUUUUGCAUAGUUUUGAAAGCGCAAUCGCUAAAGUCCACAUCACCUCAACGUGAACUCAAACCUGAUAUGUUUUAGUGUUAGGGAAUGAAUCUCAUUUCAGCUGAGAUAGUUCUAGAUGAAGUUUUAUUUUCAAUUUUCUUCAUUCAGAAGCUGAAUUUCAUUAUCAGCAUCAUGCCUUUUAGAUUAUAGUAACGAUAUUGGAUGUAUGUUUGUAUAGGUAGAAGAGUUUGGAAACUGGAGUGAUUCAUCGUUGGAGAGAUUGUGUGAUGUUGUGAAGCCGGUUGUCUUCACAGAGCGCUCUUACAUUCUCCGGGAGGGAAACCCAAUUGAUCAAAUGCUCUUCGUGCUGCAAGGCAAGUCAAGGACCUACACUUCCAGGAGCAUAACUGGAUUCUCAAGCAAUUCUGGUAACCUGAACAACCAUCUGGAAGAUGGUGACUUUUCUGGAGAAGAACUCAUUGCUUGGGCGAAGGCUGACCGCGACUCAUCCAACCUUCCUAUAUCAACUAAAACAAUUCAAGCUCUUACAAAUGUUGAAGCAUUUGUUCUUAUGGCGGAUGAUUUAAAGCAGGUACUAUUGAAUAUUGAUCAUUAAGCAAAACAUUGCACUGGAUGUAUACAUGUAUUUUGACAAACUAGAUGGAGUGCACAUGCGUCCGCACAAGGAACGCCACCGUCGCCAUCUACAAUAAUAUUUGGGGCAUUCAGAUCUGGUGCAGCAACGUUAGUAUUUUAGGCCUUGUUCAUGAUCUUAAUUAAGGACCUAUCUCAAGAAUAAAUUUGGACGAGUGUAUUUGAGUUUGAGAUAUUAGAAACCGAUGCCUGAUACAGUUGAUGUAUAUAUAUGUAUGAAGUUAGCAAAACUCCUUUGUAGUGUUGAACAUAUAUAUUUUCUAUGCGCUAAUUUCUGGUUCGGAUGGCAGUAUGGACCGUCCCUUUUGCAGAAAAAUUUAUCAUGCAGAAAUUAUAUGUACACCAAGGGAGUAAGCAUUUAACUGCUAAACGUCAGUCCGUAAUGGAAUUACCUUGCUCUAAUAACAGUAUGAAAGCUCAAAGCUCUCUAAAAAGCUCAAAUUUAUGUACACACACACAGAGCUGACUCUCAGGAGAACUUCCAAACUAUUAUCUUGGCUUGCUCUGUCAGCAUUAAGUAAAGACGAGAAAAUUCUUAGGCAAUAUGGAUGACAAAGAUAAUAGAAAUUAUAACUAGUAGAGACACAACGGAUGAUAUUAAAUUGGAAAAUGAGACUCUUACAACAUUUAGUACAAAAGUUAGCACAAAAUGGUGCGUUUUAUGCUAACUAUAAAAAGGUUUCUGUGGCAGCUCAAUACACGGGUAAUUUUUAAAAACCUCUCCUGAGGUUUGGGCUUGUUGCAAGUAGAUAGCGAGAAUUGAUUUAUUUGUAAAAAAUUCCCUACCAUCAGUUAAUUUUAAUAUUGACCGUUAGUUGAUUGUGCAAAGACAAUAUUACUCUUAACAAUAGUUUGUAGACAAAAAUAACUAAAAAAAAAAAAUCAAAAUUGUUGGCUAUUUUAUCCUCUUUAAAUUAUUGAUAUUUUCUUAAAGUUCCUACAAAAAAGAUAAAAUUAACAACUUGAAAAAUCCUCUUUAAAUUAUUAAUAUUUCCUUAAAGUUCCUACAAGAAAGAUAAAAUUAAAAACUUGAAAAUGAAAUAGUUAUAAUCUUUACCUAUGAUAUUGUAAAUUUUUGGAAUUGACAAGGAUAAAAUUGUCAAAAAAUAAGGUUUGUGCUUUUUGCGCCAACAAUUUUAGUUUUUUUUUUAAUUAUGUCAGUCUACAAACUAUUGUUAAGGGUAAUAUUGUCUUUGCACAGUCAACUAACGGUCAAUGUUAAAAUUAACUGACGGUAGGGGAUUUUUUAUAAAUAAACUGAUUCUCGCCAUCUACUUGCAAUAAACCCAAACUUCAGGGGAGGUUUUUAAAAAUUACCCCUCAAUACACACGCGCAAGACUCGCACAGCAAACGAGCAAGCAAAACCCACACCAAAACGCAACCGUUUCAUUUUCCUCCUCCCCUGCUCUGUGCGCUCUCCGUCAACUUUCUCCCUCUCUCUCGCCGUGGGUGUCCCCACAUCUGGCCGUUGGCUCUCUCUCUCUCUCUCUCGCACACACAGCUCGCAUAGCAAACGAGCAAAACCCAUACAACACUCACCGUCGGCUUUCUCUCUCUUUCCGUGGGUCUCUUCACAGCUGGCGUGGGUCUCUCCACAAAUCUUACCUCGAAAAUUUGAAAAAUUUAUGGCUUGAAUUUGUGAAGAUUCAGCUGGAAUUGUAUUGCUUGUGGUGAUUGCAUCCGUGGUCAAGUUUUGCAUUUGUAAUCGAUUUGUAUUGUCAAGUGAGUUUAAAUUGAUUAGUAAUUGCAUUUAGAUUGAUUUUGAGUGAAGUAAAAGAAGAGUGCUCUUGUACCAGUGAAUCAGUUAAUAUAAAGAUUUUCUACAUUUCGUGGAUUCAGCCCUUGAACAAUCGUUUAAGAUUAACACUUAACCUGGCACAUGAUAUGUUGCAUGCGAACAUCUUGAUCUUUUGCUGAUUGUUACCAAAACCAAAAUUGCAACCAAAAUAUAUCUGGGAUAUAUUUUAGUGAUGUGGGAGAUGCAAUCGACGAAGGGGUGAGAGAGGGAGAAUCAGCUUAUGGGUGAUUCGGGCUACACGUCAAUUUCUGAGCUGUGUUCUGUGAGCAGCAUGUGCGGUGGGAGCAGCGCGUGUUGUGUGUAAUAUGUGUGGACAAUUAAUAUUUAGCUCAAAACGCACCGUUUGGUGGUGAGUGUGUGUGGUGUUAAAUGUUGUAAGAAUAUCACUGCUGUAUUAAAUUAGCGUGUCCCUGAUUUUAAUAUUUAUUCCAUCCAAUAAUGGUUUUUGAGGAUGAGCGAGUUCACGCCCUUGUUGAAAAUUUUGUUAAUCAAUCCAUGGCUAAGAGGGCCACUGGCAAAACUUUUAUAAUAAAAGAAAAUCUAAAUUGAACCAUAAUCAUAUAAUUUUCAUGAAGGUUUAAAAGUAAGCUAUUAAUAUAAUAAAAUAAGUAUUAAUUGUCAAAUGAGAACCAUGAUACAUUGCUAGAAUCAGAUCAUCCACAAAGUCUCCAAGGUCAAGCUCAAGGCGUAACCCCUCGUCUACAUAUAUCAUCAUCAUCCUAUAAACUAUAACAUGGGAAGCACUAAAUCUCGCUAAUCAUAAAUAAAUGGGAUGAUUGCUAUGAAUCAUUAGGACGCGCAGAUUCGUUGGCUUGGAGUUGGAGAAUCACUAAGUACGCUCACCUCCCUCUUCAAAAAUGCAAGCGACGCGGAGGCAACUAUAUAAUUGAAUCUGUCAACACAACACAAAUAUUAAAUGCAGGCCAUCAUACUUUCUCAUCUAACACAGUAACACUACCAAAAUAUUAACUCAAUGACAAUUCAACCACACAAGCAUUUAGGUUAUCUAAGAAAAAGAAUCAAGAAGUAACGACCAAGGAAAGCUAGACUUGAAAUGAGGAGCCUUUACCUCUGAGUUAUAGAACCUUAAUUCUCUUUUAUGCUUGUCAGCUCCAUCCAACUUCUCAAUAGGAUUAAUGGGGUUCGCAAAAUCAACAUGAGGUCCCUCUGUUGAGCAUAUCAGAAACCCAAUGACACCACUGUAACCAAGAAAAGAACCCUCAAUCGUAAAAAGAUUUCACAGGAUACAUUCAAUUCCAUAACCAAAUCUUGUGUCUGGACUUAUGCAAUCUAAAGCAUAAACAACAAAUUUCCCACUUCUCAAAACAUCAUUAAGUAGAAAAUUCAAAGUUUGAACUUAAUGAUAAAAACAAUUGAGAUUAAUAUCGUUUCUGAAGCUGUCAAACUUUAAAAAAAAUGAUUAUCAGUGCAACAUUACCUUGGUUAUAUUGCCAAAACAUCAAACAGUUAUUUUCCUAAACAAACAACAGAAUUUUAUAAACUCUUCAAAAAUUUCCGAAACGUAAGUGCCAAGUUUAUAUUGCCGAAACAGAACCAUUUGACAAUUUAAAUAUAAGACUGGACGAGCAUGUGCACCAUCAAAUUAUUAAAGGAUAACUCAUGCAUGCCAAAACAAAAAUCAACAUCCACAUGAACACUAAUCCAUCCAUAAGUUAGCCACCCAUUUUAUUCAGUACAUGAAAUGAAUAAAUAAAGGGUAAAAGCUUAUUUAGUCCUUAUAUUUUAAGAUUAGUAUCCAUUUAGUCCCUAUAUUUUAAAAAAUGUCUCAAAACGUCCAUGUCGUUAAAGUAUUGAUACUCCUACCGUUACUUUUUAUUUCUUUUAGCUUACUUUUAUAAUGUUACCCUUUUAUAAUAUUUUUUUAUUUGGACAUUAAUAAAAAGAAAAUAAUUAAAUUACCAAUUUACCCUAAAAAUAAAAUUACAUUAAUUUUUAAUUAUCAAAAAAUUAAAUUAUUACUUUUUAUUUCUUUUGUCUUUCUUUUACAAUAUUACCCUUUUAUAAUAAUUUUUUUGUUUGGACAUUAAUAAAAAAUAAUUAAAUAAUGUAAAAGUAAGCCAAAAUAAAUAAAAAGUAAUAAUUUAAUUUUUGAAAAUUAAAAAUUAAUAUAAUUUUUUUAUUUUUUAGGGUUAAAUUGGUAAUUUAAUUUUUUUUUUUGUAGGUUCUAUUAUUAUUAUCAUAAUAAUACGUGGAUCCCAUAUAUGUAUUAUUUAUAUGAAGAAUAUGUAUUUUACAUAUAUGUAAAAUAGAGAUUGUCGUAAUAAUAAUAAGAUUUUUUAAAAUUAUAGUUAAUGUAAUUUAUGGAUAAAUAAAAUUUAUUCACAUACUUAUUGAAAAAAAUCUUGUUAUAAACUACAAUCAGAAUAACUCAGAAAAAUUCAUAAAUAUAAUAAAAAUAAUAAUAACAACAGUAAGAUAUCAAUAAUAUUAAGAAUUUCGAUACUUAAAUUUUAAUUUGUAUUUGAAUUGCAUCCUAAGUUCAUGAAUUUAAACCGACAGAUGACCUCAUCACAUAUCCAAAAGCAUAAAUAACCUACAAAACUAGAGAGAGCACAAACAGAGGUCCAAUAAUAAAUAAAUGAUCGAAGCAGAAACAGCUACCGGUCAAAAAAACUCACCGACCCAUCAAUUUCAACUCAUUUCGGAUAUUUUUUACCUUGCCAUUGACUGCAUUUAUGAGGCUUGACUAAUUUCCUGAUUAACUAGACUGUGGCCAAUAGCCAAGAGCCAAUAGCAUUGCUUUACUUGGAAAUUUCUUUAACUCUUUGCCCUCUUCAUGCCAACAUGGCAUCAGCUCAGGCGAAGAGGGUUGACCACGCGCCAACAUAUGAUUGAUGACAUGUCAUCAUUGGAUUGGAUCACGCUCCUCACUCGCGUCUCUACCAAAAUUUUGAAACUUGCGUGCGGUGCAGUCAGUUCAAAAUUCAAAAAUUGUGAAAGAAGUUCCAUUCGCAAGUAUUCGCAGUUCAUUAAAUAUUUUCGACUACUCUCACCAACCAAACUAACAAAUUUAAUUUUUUUAAAGCGACCUGGGAUUUUUUUUUUUUUAUUGGGGCUGGGGGAUUCGUAUCCCAGAGAUAAGCACUGAAAUUUUCAAAAUUUUAACACUCAAAUGGGAUAUUUUUAUAAAUUCAAAGGAAGUAAGGUCAGAGGUCUUCAAAAAUUUUCUAAAGCGACCUGGGACGCAGGCCCGGACUGUUCCUACUAUUGCUCAAAUUUGUAAUGGGCAUCGUGACAUUGUUCACAAGUUUGGAUUUGGAUUCUCAACAAGUUCAUAUUUGUAAGGCUUACAUUUAUCUUGAGCAAUAAGUGUUGAUGCUGAAAUCUGCUCGCCCUUUGACCGACCAGAUUCUUUCACCAACGUUUGUGUUAUCUGUUGUUGCUCGUUCACUGGAACUGGAAUCGUCCCCCUUCCUCUCAAUAGACCUGCGCUCACUAAAAACGGAUCAGAGACGCCGGUGGUUUUGCCGGCGUAAACCCUCUGAUGCCUAAGUUAGCUCAAGGUGUUUACGGGAAAACAAUGUGAUUUGGGUUCAAGAAGUUUAUCUGAAAUUCGUAGGACAAUGGUCUGGUUGCAAUUUGGCAGCGUUUUCCCUCUCUCCGUUUUUCUGUCCUUUUCUCCGUUGAGUUCCUUUUCUUUUAUAGCCGCUGUCCCCACCUUUCCGUUUGCCCUUCAUCCCCCCCUUUUUCGGGUAGUGGCAGCCCCUCACGGGACUCUAACCGUUGCAUUGUCGCAAACGUGGGGACUUACGUGUCCUUCAACGGUUCUGGGAAAAGCGUAACGGUCGCAAUUCUGUGUUCUGUGAAAAGCAUAACGGCCGCGAUUCUGUGUUCUGGGAAAAGCGUAACGGCCGCGAUUCUGUGUUCUGGGAACAGCGUAACGGCCGCGGUUCUGUGGGAUCGUGUUCCCGCUUUCUGGGGGACAGGUAUCGUUUUCCCUCUCUCCGUUUUUCUGUCCUUUUCUCCGUUGAGUUCCUUUUCUUUUAUAGCCGCUGUCCCCACCUUUCCGUUUGCCCUUCAUCCCCCCCUUUUUCGGGUAGUGGCAGCCCCUCACGGGACUCUAACCGUUGCAUUGUCGCAAACGUGGGGACUUACGUGUCCUUCAACGGUUCUGGGAAAAGCGUAACGGUCGCAAUUCUGUGUUCUGUGAAAAGCAUAACGGCCGCGAUUCUGUGUUCUGGGAACAGCGUAACGGCCGCGGUUCUGUGGGAUCGUGUUCCCGCUUUCUGGGGGACAGGUAUCGGCUUGGUGUAUACCUCUGGUCGGUACAUUCCCCUAGCAGGGGUUCCCCUCUGGUCGGUUUAUGCUUGUCAGGGGUUCCCCUCUGGUCGGUUUAUGCUUGUCCCUGUGUUCGGCUCGUACCAUAGGCUGAGGUGAUCCACGCCGGGGUGGAAAUAAUAGCAUGACCGACCUGGUGCUUGUAUUUACUUAACACGCACAAAGAUUCAAUUCUACUAGUGAGCAAAAAACACGAGGGACAUGAUAAGACUUGCAGCCUCUCGGGGCCAAAAUUUUGGUUAAUGAACCGUAGAUUGAGAAUGUGCAAAUGGAUAAGUUCUAACCUCAAGUCGUAACUAUUAGUUGCCUGCGCCCCCAACUCAGUCAAAAGGUGCUACACAAAUUACAUAUUUAUUGGGAAUUUGUUUUUUGUUUUGGUUGUUUGAUUGAUUGUGUAAGAAGUCAAUGUCUUGAGGAACCACAGUGUCUAGAUACUUAUUAGCACAUAAGAUAAGCAUGCUCUGAACUCCGAAGACUCAGCCACUGAAGUGAUGAUUUGUGAAGGAUUCACCUGUAUUUAAUUGAAGGAAACUGAAAUUAAGCUUCGCUUCAUUUAUUUAAAUUUUCCUUCCCCUUGGUUGAUUAUGUAAGCCUUAAGCGAGUUGUUUAUUAAUUUGACGAUAUACGUAUAGAGCCUUACUGAGCUGAAGUACAGGCUAUAUGUUAUUACAAUUAUUGUAUAUGGUGAUGACGAUGAAGUUGAUUUUAUUUUUUUCAGGUCUCAGCACUCGAAUUUAGAGGAAGGAACGCCGAGACUGGUUGCUGGUGUUGAAAUGGACAGCAUCAGUAGGAGCGAGAGAGAAGCAACAGUAUCUGCUUUCCUCACUGUGAUCGAAAGCUUGGGUAAUGGAGUAAAAACAUCUCUUCGGCAGAUUCGUAAUCUGUCGAGACGUUUCCUGGAAGCUAAUUUUUGGCUGAUUUAUGUGUAUUCCAUGGUAUUUGAUCCUGUUUUCUUGUACCUUCCUGUGACCAACGAUGACAAAAAGUGCUUCCAAUUUGACAAAGAUGUUAUGACGUUUGGUAUUCUUGAACGCACGGUAUAUGAUACACCUUUUUUGAUAAUUAGAGCUUUACCAAUAUGGGAGAAUUGGCGUCGAAAUUGUAGCAUAUCUCGGUUGCCCGUCUUCCUAUUUGAUCUCUCCAUCAUUCUUCCACUCCCACAGGUAAAUGUUUGUUCUGUCGUACUUUUUACUUAUUUGUUCCAAUUAGCCAAGCAAGGGCACGCGCGCACACCUAUGGGCGCCCAAACCAAUUUAUGUUGGAUUCCUAGCAAGCACGCAUAGGUUGUAUUUUUUUUUUCCUUUUCAUAUGGAAUCAUAUUUCAUAAUUGAUAAUUCUAUCUUUAUGGUGUACAAACUGUUCAGGUGUUGGUGCUUCUAGUUUAUAAUCGACUAAUGAAUGUCCGGAAAUUUUUCCAUGUGAUGAACCUUUUUAUCGUCCAACAUUUGGUAAAGGUUAUGCGAUUGUAUGCAUUGAUUAAAGAAAGGAAUAAUUCAAAUAAAUAUACUAAAUGGGCCAGAUUUACGUUCAAUCUCUUUUACCUACAUGCUGCUAAUGUAAGUUUCCUUGCCUCCCAAGUCUCCAAUAUAUUAUAUUUCUCUUUACUCUUUUUGGGUAAUUUAUAAUUCCUGAUGAUCUACUUGAUGGUUGUUUAGGUGUUUGGAGCAUUAUGGUACUUUUUUGCUCUACAAAGAAAGACCGAAUGUUGGAGGAAAGCCUGCACAGAUUCUACCAAAUGCCGUCUCCUUCCUUUGCACUGUGACAACAGUUUAACAAACUACACAUUUUCUAAUGAUUUUUGCUCUACAAAGACUCAAAAUGCAACUAUCUAUGAUUUUGGGAUAUUCUUUGAUGCUAUUAAUUCUGGUGUUAUUGAGCAAAACAAUUUAUUUCUGAGGUUGUUCCCUUGUAUUCGAUGGAGCCUGCAAAAUCUCAGGUUAAGUUGUGGAUAUACAUCAUUCUCCUUGUAACAAUCUUUGUGCAUAUGCCUUUCUAUGUUUUUGGUGCAUAUAAUUACGCAUACGUAUUUUUAUGUUUUUUUAGCAAUUAAACUCAAAAACAUUGGUUCUAAAUUUCUAAUAAAUUUACGGGUUUGACUUCCGCAGUUCUUUUGGACAAGGUCUCCCAUUCAGUACUAAUGUCUGGGAAAACAUCUUUGUGAUUUCAAUUACCAUCACUGGAGUAAGGCUGUUUUUCUUCUUGAUUGGAAAGGUCCAGGUUGGUGUAUCUUUAUUUUAUGUUAUUUUAUUUUUUUCUCGUCUGAUUCUUGUCUCUUAAAAUUGGUUCUUUAUGCUUGAUUGAGAUGAAGCGCAAUAAAUUUUAAUUUUCCAUAAACCAUUAUUCUCGCGCAAUGUGCAGUAUGAAAUGUCAAAAGCAGAGGAGAUAAGACAGAAGGUACAAGAAAUAUACCAGUGGCCGCCCUUUAGAAAGCUCCCUAAGGAACUCCAAAAGAAGGUCAGGAGACAUCCGGCAUCCAAAUUGCGAGGAACCACAGGGGUUGAUGUAGAAAUGGUGAAUAAUCUUCCAGAGGACCUCAGAAAGAGCAUAAAACAAAACCUCUGCUUAGACCUGCUAAAAAAAGUGAGUAAGAAAUCUUUACAACUAUACUUGUCCCUCCUACUUGUGAAUUUGUGGAACUGACAAAGAAGAGGCUGGCAACAUAUAAACAGCAAUCCGAAAAACUAAUGAAAAUAUUUUCCUAUUCUUUAACUCAAUCGAAUAAACUCAAGGGUAAAUGUUUGUAACUAUUUGAACUUCUGCAUGGUUUUGAAAGCGCAAUAGCUAAGGUUCACAUCACCUCAAUGGAAACUCAAGCCUGACAUGUGUUUAGUGAUGGGGAAUGAAUCUCAUUUUAGCUGAGAUAGUUCUAGAUCAAUUUUUAUUCUCUUCAUUCAGAAGCUGAAUUUCAUUAUCAGCAUCGAGCCUUCUAGAUUAUAGUAAUGAUAUUGGAUGUAUGUUUGUUUAGGUAGAAGAGUUUGGAAACUGGAGUGAUUCAUCGUUGGAGACACUGUGUGAUGUUGUGAAGCCAGUCGUCUUCACAGAGCGCUCUUACAUUCUCCAGGAGGGAAACCCAAUUGAUCAAAUGCUCUUCGUGCUGCAUGACAAGUUAUGGACCUACACUUCCAGGAGCAUAGCUGGAUCCUCAAGCAAUUCUGGUAACCCGAACAACCAUCUGGAAGAUGGUGACUUUUCUGGAGAAGAACUCAUUGCUUGGGCGAAGGCUGACCGCGACUCCUCCAACCUCCCUCUAUCAACUAAAACAAUUCAAGCACUUACAAAAGUUGAAGCAUUUCUUCUUAUGGCAGAUUAUUUGAAGCAGGUGCUUUUGGAUAUUGAUCAUUAAGCAAAACAAUGCAGCCCGCUGCAUACAAGUAUUCCGACAAACUAGAAAGAAUGCACAAGCGUCCGCGCAAUGAACGCCACCAUCGCCAUCUACAAUAAUAUUUUGGGCAUUCAGAUCUGGUGCAGCAACUUUAGUAUUUUAAGCCUUGUUCGUGAUCUUAAUUAAGGACCUAUCUCAAGAAUAAAUUUGGACGAGAGUAUUUUGAGUGAGAUAUUAGAAA